rnacentral:rRNA from 1 species
UUUAUGGAGAGUUUGAUCCUGGCUCAGGAUGAACGCUGGCGGCGUGCCUAAUACAUGCAAGUCGAGCGAACAGAUAAGGAGCUUGCUCCUUUGACGUUAGCGGCGGACGGGUGAGUAACACGUGGGUAACCUACCUAUAAGACUGGAAUAACUCCGGGAAACCGGGGCUAAUGCCGGAUAACAUGUUGAACCGCAUGGUUCUACAGUGAAAGACGGUCUUGCUGUCA